AAACACAUAUAAUAUGUUUGCUUUUAUACUAAAAUUGGAAUUAUGCAGAGAAAAUUAGAAUGGCCCCUGAGCUAGGAUGACAUGUAAAUUCAUAGAGCAUCUCAUGUUUUAU
rfam:Cavia porcellus supercont2_4 genomic scaffold, whole genome shotgun sequence.